AGCAUUGGUGGUAGGGUUGUGACUCCUCAUCGAAGUAGGCCUCACCCGAAAAUGUUGGAGGGGUUGAUGUGUUCUCAAAGUUGGUUGUUAAAAGAUGCCAAAGGCCAAGUGCCUACUUGGAAAGAUGCAUAUGGUACUAUUUAUGAUGAUUGUGGGAUUAGUCCAGAAGAAUUUGAAGACAUUGAGAAUGGAGAAGGCGG